CCUACGGGUGGCAGCAGUGGGGGAUAUUGCACAAUGGGGGAAACCCUGAUGCAGCGACGCCGCGUGUGGGAAGACGGUCUUCUGGAUUGUAAACCACUGUCCCCAGGGACGAAAAUGACGGUACCUGGGGAGGAAGCCCCGGCUAACUACGUGCCAGCAGCCGCGGUAAUACGUAGGGGGCAAGCGUUAUCCGGAAUUACUGGGUGUAAAGGGAGCGUAGACGGUGAUGUAAGUCUGGAGUGAAAGGCGGGGGCCCAACCCCCGGACUGCUCUGGAAACUAUGUGACUGGAGUGCAGGAGAGGUGAGCAGAAUUCCUAGUGUAGCGGUGAAAUGCGUAGAUAUUAGGAGGAACACCAGUGGCGAAGGCGGCUCACUGGACUGUAACUGACGUUGAGGCUCGAAAGCGUGGGGAGCAAACAGGAUUAGAUACCCUGUAGUC
rnacentral:rRNA from 1 species